rnacentral:rRNA from 1 species
AGGAUUAACGCUGGCGGCGUGCAUGAACAUGCAAGUCGAGCGCGGCGCGUGGCUUCGGUCACGCGUCUAGCGGCGCACGGGUGAGUAACACGUGAGCAACCUACCUUCGAGUUCGGGAUAGCCCUGGGAAACCAGGAUUAAUACCGGAUGUGGUCACAACGGGACAUCCCGAUGUGAAAAAGGCGUAAGCCGCUCGAUGACGGGCUCGCGGCCUAUUAGCUUGUUGGUGGGGUAACGGCCUACCAAGGCGACGAUGGGUAGCUGGUCUGAGAGGACGAUCAGCCACACUGGGACUGAGACACGGCCCAGACUCCUACGGGAGGCAGCAGUUAGGAAUUUUCCGCAAUGGGCGAAAGCCUGACGGAGCAACGCCGCGUGUGUGAUGAAGGCCUUCGGGUUGUAAGCACUGUCGGAGGGGAAGAAUGAAUGACGGUACCUCCAAGAAAGCCCGGCUAACUACGUGCCAGCAGCCGC